rnacentral:rRNA from 1 species
GAUGAACGCUGGCGGCGUGCUUAACACAUGUAAGUCGAACGGAAAGGCCUCUGCUUGCAGGGGUACUCGAGUGGCGAACGGGUGAGUAACACGUGGGUGAUCUGCCCUGCACUUCGGGAUAAGCCUGGGAAACUGGGUCUAAUACCGGAUAGGACAAUGGUUUGGAUGCUGUUGUGGAAAGUUUUUCGGUGUGGGAUGAGCUCGCGGCCUAUCAGCUUGUUGGUGGGGUAAUGGCCUACCAAGGCGUCGACGGGUAGCCGGCCUGAGAGGGUGUACGGCCACAUUGGGACUGAGAUACGGCCCAGACUCCUACGGGAGGCAGCAGUGGGGAAUAUUGCACAAUGGGCGCAAGCCUGAUGCAGCGACGCCGCGUGGGGGAUGACGGCCUUCGGGUUGUAAACUCCUUUCGCUAGGGACGAAGCGUUUUUGUGACGGUACCUGGAGAAGAAGCACCGGCUAACUACGUG